rnacentral:rRNA from 1 species
CACGUAGGCGGAUAUUUAAGUCAGGGGUGAAAUCCCAGAGCUCAACUCUGGAACCGCCUUUGAUACUGGGUAUCUUGAGUAUGGAAGAGGUAAGUGGAAUUCCGAGUGUAGAGGUGAAAUUCGUAGAUAUUCGGAGGAACACCAGUGGCGAAGGCGGCUUACUGGUCCAUUACUGACGCUGAGGUGCGAAAGCGUGGGGAGCAAACA